CAUCAUCCAUUCAUUACUGAAGAAAGGCACAAGAUGUCCCACCACAUAGUUGGGAUGAUUCUAGUCUAUCUGCGGAUGGCUGCCUCAGAAGAAGGGAUAGAAAUCCUGCAAAGCCCAGCACAGCUGUGGCUGACUUCUGGACAGACUGCAAAGCUGGACUGUAAAAUAUCAGAAGAAGAAGAAUGGCGAGUUCGGUGGUACAAGGAACAACAGAAUGGAAAUUUGCAUGGGAUUCAUCAGAGUUCUGAGUCUGAAUCUUUAGAUGGAAAAUACUCGAGUAAAGUGAAUAUUACGGCAAACAUGUUUUCUCUAAUUAUCAGUAACAUACAAAGAGAUGACUCGGGGGUUUAUUAUUGUGGCCUCUCUGCCUCUGUGUAUCUACAGCCCAACUUUGGGAAUGGGACCAGACUAAUUGUCACAGGAAACUGUAUGAUUGUGUUCUAUGCGGGGCUGCCCUGUAUUUUCCUCCUCCUCCUGAUCCAGCUGUUGAUCUUGCUCUGGAGAAAGUGCCCCGUCAGAGGGAGAGCUGGGCAAAGAGGGAAUCAAAUACCUAUGAGACAGAUGCCACAGACUGAAUAUGCAACUCUGAUGUACAGUAACAGAAAUACUCCUUGGUAACUGAGUCUCACAAAAAAAGCUUAUGUUUU